rnacentral:rRNA from 1 species
AGCAGCCGCGGUAAUUCCAGCUCCAAUAGCGUAUAUUAAAGUUGUUGCAGUUAAAAAGCUCGUAGUUGAAUUUCGGGGUCAGUAGGUUGGUCAUGCCACUGGUAUGUACUGGCCUCACUGAUUCCUCCUUCCUGAUGAGCCGUAAUGCCAUUAAUUUGGUGUUGCGAGGAAUCUGGACUGUUACUUUGAAAAAAUUAGAGUGUUUAAAGCAGGCUAACGCUUGAAUACAUUAGCAUGGAAUGAUGAAAUAGGACGUUCGAUCUUAUUUUGUUGGUUUCUAAGAUUGACGUAAUGAUUAAUAGGGAUAGUUGGGGGCAUUAGUAUUCAAUUGUCAGAGGUGAAAUUCUUGGAUUUAUUGAAGACUAACUACUGCGAAAGCAUUUGCCAAGGAUGUUUUCAUUAAUCAAGAACGAAAGUUAGGGGAUCGAAGACGAUCAGAUACCGUCGUAGUCUUAACCAUAAACUAUGCCGACUAGGGAUCGGAUGAUGUUAAUUUUUUAAUGACUCAUUCGGCGCCUUACG